GGAUUGUAGCUCAGUGGUAGAGCAACUGCCUAAAAUGCAUGAGGCCCUGGGUUCAAUCCUCAGCACCA
rnacentral:tRNA from 1 species